rnacentral:rRNA from 1 species
GCAACGCCGCGUGAGGGACGACGGCCUUCGGGUUGUAAACCUCUUUUAGCAGGGAAGAAGCGAAAGUGACGGUACCUGCAGAAAAAGCACCGGCUAACUACGUGCCAGCAGCCGCGGUAAUACGUAGGGUGCAAGCGUUAUCCGGAAUUAUUGGGCGUAAAGAGCUCGUAGGCGGUUUGUCGCGUCUGCUGUGAAAACUGGGGGCUCAACCCCCAGCCUGCAGUGGGUACGGGCAGACUAGAGUGCGGUAGGGGAGAUUGGAAUUCCUGGUGUAGCGGUGGAAUGCGCAGAUGUCAGGAGGAACACCGAUGGCGAAGGCAGAUCUCUGGGCCGUAACUGACGCUGAGGAGCGAAAGGGUGGGGAGCAAACAGGCUUAGAUACCCUGGUAGUCCACCCCGUAAACGUUGGGAACUAGUUGUGGGGUCCAUUCCACGGAUUCCGUGACGCAGCUAACGCAUUAAGUUCCCCGCCUGGGGAGUACGGCCGCAAGGCUAAAACUCAAAGGAAUUGACGGGGACCCGCACAAGCGGCGGAGCAUGCGGAUUAAUUCGAUGCAACGCGAAGAACCUUACCAAGGCUUGACAUAUACGAGAACGCUGCAGAAAUGUAGAACUCUUUGGACACUCGUAAACAGGUGGUGCAUGGUUGUCGUCAGCUCGUGUCGUGAGAUGUUGGGUUAAGUCCCGCAACGAGCGCAACCCUCGUUCUAUGUUGCCAGCACGUAAUGGUGGGAACUCAUGGGAUACUGCCGGGGUCAACUCGGAGGAAGGUGGGGAUGACGUCAAAUCAUCAUGCCCCUUAUGUCUUGGGCUUCACGCAUGCUACAAUGGCCGGUACAAAGGGCUGCAAUACCGUAAGGUGGAGCGAAUCCCAAAAAGCCGGUCCCAGUUCGGAUUGAGGUCUGCAACUCGACCUCAUGAAG